UGGAAGUAAAAGUCGUAACAAGGUCUCCGUUGG
rnacentral:rRNA from 1 species